CCGUUCGGCGGAAGCGUCGUUCG
rnacentral:snRNA from 1 species